UCCCUGGUGGUUCAGAUGGUGAAGAAUCUGUCUGCAAAGCAGGAGACCCAGGUUCAAUCCCUGGGUUGGGAA
rfam:TPA: Bos taurus chromosome 26, whole genome shotgun sequence.